CAAUAUGGUAGUUCUUUCAGAUAGUCGAAUGACUUGGAAAAGUCAGUCAAAGAGGGUAAAAACCCCGUAGACGAAAUGUGGAAGACACCUAGGAGGAUCCUGAGUACGGCGGAACACGAGAAAUUCCGUCGGAAUCCGGGAGGACCAUCUCCCAAGGCUAAAUACUCCCUAGUGACCGAUAGUGAACCAGUACCGUGAGGGAAAGGUGAAAAGCACCCCGGAAGGGGAGUGAAAUAGAACCUGAAACCGUGUGCCUACAACAAGUCAAAGCCCGUUAAUGGGUGAUGGCGUGCCUUUUGUAGAAUGAACCGGCGAGUUACGAUUGCAUGCGAGGUUAAGUUGAAGAGACGGAGCCGCAGCGAAAGCGAGUCUGAAUAGGGCGUUUGAGUAUGUAGUCGUAGACCCGAAACCAUGUGAUCUACCCAUGUCCAGGUUGAAGGUGCGGUAAAACGCACUGGAGGACCGAACCCACGUACGUUGAAAAGUGCGGGGAUGAGGUGUGGGUAGCGGAGAAAUUCCAAACGAACUUGGAGAUAGCUGGUUCUCUCCGAAAUAGCUUUAGGGCUAGCCUCGGAAUUGAGAAUGAUGGAGGUAGAGCACUGUUUGGACUAGGGGCCCAUCUCGGGUUACCGAAUUCAGAUAAACUCCGAAUGCCAUUCAUUCAUAUCCGGGAGUCAGACUGUGAGUGAUAAGAUCCAUAGUCGAAAGGGAAACAGCCCAGACCACCAGCUAAGGUCCCAAAAUAUAUGUUAAGUGGAAAAGGAUGUGGGGUUGCACAGACAACUAGG
rnacentral:rRNA from 1 species